rnacentral:rRNA from 1 species
UACGUAGGGGGCUAGCGUUGUUCGGAUUUACUGGGCGUAAAGGGCGCGUAGGCGGUCGUGACAAGUCACUUGUGAAAUCUCCGGGCUUAACUCGGAACGGUCAAGUGAUACUGUCGGACUAGAGUACAGAAGGGGCAACUGGAAUUCUCGGUGUAGCGGUGAAAUGCGUAGAUAUCGAGAGGAACACCUGCGGCGAAGGCGGGUUGCUGGGCUGAUACUGACGCUGAGGCGCGAAAGCGUGGGGAGCAAACAGG